rnacentral:misc_RNA from 1 species
GUGAAGAACGCAGCGAAAUGCGAUAAGUAGUGUGAAUUGCAGAAUUCAGUGAAUCAUCGAAUCUUUGAACGCACAUUGCGCCUGCCAGCACUCUGGCAGGCAUGCCUGUUCGAGCGUCAUUUCAACCAUCAAGCCCUAGGCUUGCGUUGGAGCCCUGCGGCUGCCGCAGGCCCCUAAAAGCAGUGGCGGGCUCGCUAUCACACCGAGUGCAGUAGAUUACUCUUCGCUCAGGGCGUGUGGCGGGUUCCAGCCGUGAAACCCCCUACUUCUCAAGGUUGACCUCGGAUCAGGUAGGAAUACCCGCUGAACUUAAGCAUAUCAAUAGAGGA